UCACCUGGUCAGGCCCCCCGAUGUUGGGAAA
rnacentral:sRNA from 1 species